CCUCCAGUCGCCAUGCAGGGCAAGUGGAUGCUUUAGAAGCUCGCCUCACAUUCAGCAGGGCUCAGCUCCUGCCCGGCACCGGGACCUCCCGCACACACACCCGGAUGGAAGCAGGGACCCCACAACAGCAGGGCCAGGGUUCUAGAAGCGUGGCUUUUGUGACAGACUGAUCUCAGACUGGCUUCCACUUCAUACAACUAUGAAAAGCAUUUCUGCUCUUCUGCUGGAACAACUACUCACAGGUUUCCUCAAACGUAACUAAAAAGCUGAUUUUGUAAGUCCCGCAAGCUAAAGAGAAGCCUGGUACCCAUACUGUGCUCUGGAGCCUGUUCUGAAUGUAGGUCACAGAGACAGGCCUACGUCUCCCCAUCAGCAAGUGCUGCACAGCAGAGCUGAGGGCUGCCAGUGGCAGCCUGCAAUGGCUUUCUCGUUUUAUUUUUAAACCAAGAAAUAUCUUUAGACUACAGCCUAAACAAAGCCUUGUGAUGACCUCCAAGUGAGUCGGCCUGAAAUACAUGGAUAACAUGGUGUUCAGAGCAGAGCCAGCUUCAUAACCCAGCUUCAGAAAUUAGGGUUCAUGAGGGCUUCUAUGCCCACAACAGAAGCUCUAGAACCAAACUCACCUGCCUCCCAACCCCCUGCCCAAGACACAUCGCUGCUUUAAGUCUGGAUCAGGACCAGGGAUUUCUGGAGAAGAACCAGAGCUAUGAUAGAGUUCACACAUCCUGCAGGAAAAGCACGGGAUGGGCAUCAACAGACCUUAUCUUCAGCAUCUGUCCUGAAACACAAUGCUGCUGCAUCAUCUAUGUUAGCAUGAGACUUCCCAAAAACAGCGUCUGCAAGAGUUGUGACCAGCUUUGAAUCAGUAGAUUCAAGUGCCCCAAUCUUCUUUUUGGACUCCACGCUCCCAAGAGAAAACUGAAGCUCCUGGUAGCAAGCAAUAGACAGCUGCACAUCUGGAACUGCUCCUGAGCACCACGUGCCCUGAGGAGGGAACCUCAGAGCAGCACCAGCAGCUCCACACACCAUUGACCUUUGCAGAGCAUGUGCACUUACCAGCCUGUAGGGCUGCUACCGCCAGGUGGAUAAUGGAUCAUAUAAAGCUCAAGAAGGCCUUCAAGGGACCAAAACAUUUUCCACUUAAUUUUGGCCUACAAUUAUCUCAUCUGUUGUCAGUCUCCACAAUACACACCCCUCGGAUGUGAGCAGCAGAGCCACAAUUAUAACUCAUGCCAGGACCUCAGAACGUAGCACCUUUCUUGAUGGGAGCUGCCCUGACCCUGAGCUGCGGGAUGGUCCAGGCACCACGGCCUUCAGCUGCACCAGAGGCUGCAGAAAUGGAAGGGAUUCACUCCAGGCGCCUGGGAAGGUCUCGGGGCUUGGUGACAGCAGUCAUCUGUCAUUCCAGUUGUGGAAGACUCAAUGGUAAAGAAGUGCUCUCAAAUGCUAGACGGCCGCCAGUCCUACAGGCAACUUUUACUCCAGCUAUAAACCAUACUUAGCCAAGACCAUAUGAAAUCCAUCAACCUCAGCUGGUAACAGUGUUCAUUAUAGCAGCACAGGCUCAGCAAGAUAACUGCAGAGGAAGGGAGAAGUACCAGUGAAAAAGCCACAGAGGGAAUGAGCUCAGUAUUUCCCAGGCAUUAUCAGCAGGCCUAGGCACCAUCAGCAGGAAUGAAAAGGAAAGUAAGAUUUGCUCAGGGAUGUAUGCGGAAGGGAAGGCUGAUGGAUAAAAGGGCUGAAAGAAACAGAAAAAGCAGGAGCAGGUUGAUCUGUAAAAAGAAAAGGUGCAAGAGGAAGGGCAAGAACCAGGACUAUAUCUGUCACUCGUCUCUCUCCGCCCACUCAGAGAGGCUUCAAAAGAGAUCUGGAAAGAGAGAGGGAAAAAAAAAAACCUGACAGAUAUUACUGUUCCAGCCACUGAGUCAUGGCAGGAAACUACUGAUAUUGUAAACUAGUACUAUAAGGUCAGAUGCUAUUUGAGUUUUUACCAAGGCUCACUGUAAGGGGAACAAUUAUUCAGUGCUGUGGAUUUGUCCCUUUUGUAAUUACUGGUGUUACCGUGGAACCGUUUCAUCAAGCUUUGUUAAAAAAAAAAAUAAAUAAAUCUGCCUGUAUUUGAAAACA